rnacentral:misc_RNA from 1 species
GAUGAAGAACGUAGCGAAAUGCGAUAAGUAAUGUGAAUUGCAGAAUUCCGUGAAUCAUCGAAUCUUUGAACGCACAUUGCGCCCCCUGGUAUUCCGGGGGGCAUGCCUGUCCGAGCGUCAUUGCAACCCUCAAGCGCGGCUUGUGUGUUGGGCUUCGUCCCCCCGUGGACGUGCCCGAAAGGCAGUGGCGGCGUCCCGAAUGGUGCCCGAGCGUAUGGGAACUCUCUUCCGCUCGAACCGGCCCAUUCGGCGCUGGUCGAACCCCAAUUUUUUUUUACCGGUUGACAUCGGAUCAGGUAGGGAUACCCGCUGAACUUAAGCAUAUCAAUAAGCGGAGGA